AUACGUAGGGAGCGAGCGUUGUCCGGAUUUACUGGGUGUAAAGGGUGCGUAGGCGGCUGAACAAGUCAGGUGUGAAAACCAUCGGCUCAACUGAUGGAUUGCACUUGAAACUGUGCAGCUUGAGUGAAGCAGAGGCAGGCGGAAUUCCCGGUGUAGCGGUGAAAUGCGUAGAGAUCGGGAGGAACACCAGUGGCGAAGGCGGCCUGCUGGGCUUUAACUGACGCUGAGGCACGAAAGCAUGGGUAGCAAACAGGAUUAGAUACCCUGGUAGUCCAUGCCGUAAACGAUGAUUACUAGGUGUGGGUGGUCUGACCCCAUCCGUGCCGGAGUUAACGCAAUAAGUAUCCCGCCUGGGGAGUACGGCCGCAAGGCUGAA
rnacentral:rRNA from 1 species